AACCAGCCCCUUGAUUCUGAAACUAUGCUCCUGAUGCUUUAAAAUCCAACUCCUUUGAAUAUGCUGCAUUAAUCACAUCUUUCAGUGUUAAUAUAUCCUUGCUAAAUCUCAAUGUGUCCUUCACAUGUUCAAACUGGUUUGGCAAUGAGUUUAGCAAGUAGAUUGCUUUGUCUUCAUCUUCGAUCUUCACAUCAAUAUUCUCCAAAUCUGAAAUUAGCUUUUUGAACUCGCAUAUGUUUUCUGCGAUAGUCUUGCCCUCAUCCAUACGAAACCCGUAAAAUUUCUGUUUGAGGUAGAUUCUUUCCGGUAAUGCUUUUUCCAUGAAUUCUUCCUCAAGGAUUUUCCACAUUCCCACUGCAGUCUUCUCUUUGAUAACGCUUCUUAAAAUUUCCUCUCCUAGACAUAGAAUCAGAGUGUUCCUUGCUUUCUUGGACACUUCUUCCUUUUGCUCAUCUGUAAAUGUUGCUGGAAAAUUCGGUUUCAGCUUCAAAGCUUCGUCUAAUCCUAGGUUUCCAAGUCUUUACAAGCUCCACCUUCACCGGUACUUGCUAUCCUGAGGUUUUUUUUUUCGCUACAGCAAGCUGCUGCCUCCUCUAUUUCUUUCUGCUCAAGAAACACCGAUAACCCACGUCACGAAGCUUCUUCCUCAGAGACUUCUCUCUGCCUCUCUCUUCACACAAUCACCAGAAACGUUGGAUGCGAUCGGCGAUUCCUACACAGGAAGAAAGAACAGCGCAACAGAGACAAGAAUCCACCUAGAAAGAUAAGUUCUUCCUUAUAACUAAACUCUAAGAUCGAUUCCUCUAUUCUUAGAUUCUAGGGUUUCCGAUUACUAUCUCAGACUUGUAGUUUUACGGUUGAUUCUGGGUUGUUUGUGGUUCGUUUAACACCGAUUGAACACCGAAACAUACGACGCACAUACCCACACUUGCACGAUCAGAUUACGAGUUCGGAUCACUCGAUGUGAGUGAACCUACGUCUCAGCAGGGUCUUUAGCCCUAGGAUCAAUUCACUAUACUCGUUCUUUACACGGAUACAACCAGAGGAUUUGAACCCCUCUGACUUUUCAAAACACGUAGAAAAGAGAAACCCCAAAGAAAUAGAAACUUAGCUUGAUUAUUGCUCCUUUCCUAGACCUUUCUUUGAUCUGAAAAACUGAUGUUCUUCUCUUCUUUUGCAGUAAGAAGCAGCCUCUCAAAAAACCCUUGAAGAAGCAAGUCUCCGUGUAGAUUUCUGUACCUUUUUUUCUGUAUCUGAAUCAGCCCUUCAUGUAGCCUUUAUAUAGCCUCUAAAAAACCAGUUGUGGUUGAGAAGAAGCUUAUGCGUGAAAGGCAUAUGAUUAGGCCUGACUUUGGCCGGGAAGAAUUUAUGAAAGAAGCGGAAGUGAAAGAAUGAGUAUGGUGGUACAAUUCUAAGAUAACAACGUCGUUUGGGAGCUUCUCUUGAUUGAUCCCGUGAAAUCUAAGAUACAUAUCCCAAAUCGGGAGAGAUGGUUUACCACUGGUGCCUGGGUUGGUAUUGCUCGACUUGAAGACAUAAAAAAACCCUAGAACUCGAGCCGAACGAAGCUUCACAAAAUCUCACAUUCCAAACGGUGGCCAAAUGAUUGAGAGAUCUUUCCUCCUUCCAAACAGGUACUGCAGAUUCUAAGGGGAGACACGAGCAAUUUAGAUGGGCUAAAAGAAAGACGAAACUCCAAACUGUAAAUAACAUACUCGGAGGAACUCUUGGACGCAAAAUAGUACAACUUCACGAGGUAUUUGAAUCUCAAACGACACAUGGAGACUAUUCUUAGAAUGUCUAGCGACAUGCAGGUAUCGUAACUACUUCCUUUUUAGUCGUUCUGACAAUAUAUACACGUAAGUGAA